rnacentral:rRNA from 1 species
UACGUAGGGGGCAAGCGUUGUCCGGAAUUAUUGGGCGUAAAGCGCGCGCAGGCGGUUUUUUAAGUCAGGUGUUUAAGCCCGGGGCUCAACCCCGGUACGCAUCUGAAACUGGGAGGCUUGAGUGCAGAAGAGGAGAGCGGAAUUCCACGUGUAGCGGUGAAAUGCGUAGAUAUGUGGAGGAACACCAGUGGCGAAGGCGGCUCUCUGGUCUGUAACUGACGCUGAGGCGCGAAAGCGUGGGGAGCAAACAGG